AUGAGCCAUACAAUGAAGCUAUGGGAGAGAGUCAUUGAGCACCACUUAAGAAGAAUGACAAGCGUGACCAAAAAUCAGUUUGGUUUCAUGCCUGGGAGGUUGACCAUGGAAGCCAUUUUCUUGGUACGACAACUUAUGGAGAGAUAUAGGGAGCAUAAGAAGGACUUGCAUAUGGUGUUCAUUGACUUGGAGAAGGCCUAUGAUAAGAUACCGCGGAAUGUCAUGUGGUGGGCCUUGGAGAAACACAAAGUCCCAGCAAAGUACAUUACCCUCAGCAAGGACAUGUACAAUAAUGUUGUGACAAGUGUUCGAACAAGUGAUGUCUACACCGAUGACUUCCCGAUUAAGAUAGGACUGCAUCAGGGGUCAGCUUUGAGCCCUUAUCUUUUUGCAUUGGUGAUGGAUGAGGUCACAAGGGGUAUACAAGGAGAUAUCCCAUGGUGUAUGCUCUUUGCGGAUGAUGUGGUGCUAGUUGACGAUAGUCGGACGGGGGUAAAUAGGAAGUUAGAGUUAUGGAGACAAACCUUGGAAUCGAAAGGGUUUAGUCUUAGUAGAACUAAAACCGAGUACAUGAUGUGCGGUUUCAGUACUACUAGCUGUGAGGAGGAGGAGGUUAGCCUUGAUGGCCAGGUGGUACCUCGGAAGGACACCUUUCGGUAUUUGGGGUCAAUGUUGCAGGAGGAUGGGGGUAUUGAUGAAGAUUUGAACCAUCGAAUCAAAGCCGGAUGGAUGAAGUGGCGCCAAGCUUCUGGCAUUCUCUGUGACAAGAGAGUGCCACAAAAGCUAAAAGGCAAGUUCUACAGGACGGCGGUUCGACCCGCAAUGUUGUAUGGCGCGGAGUGUUGGCCGACUAAAAGGCGACAUGCUCAACAGUUAGGUGUGUCGGAGAUGCGUAUGUUGAGAUGGAUGUGUGGCCACACGAGGAAGGAUCGAGUCCAGAAUGAUGAUAUACGAGCUAGAGUUGGGGUAGCACCAAUUGAGGAGAAGCUUGUCCAACAUCGUUUGAGAUGGUUUGGGCAUAUUCAGCGCAGUCCUCCAGAAGCUCCAGUGCAUAGCGGACGGCUAAAGCGUGCGGAGAAUGUCAAGAGAGGGCGGGGUCGACCGAUUUUGGCAUGA
rnacentral:rRNA from 1 species